rnacentral:misc_RNA from 1 species
GUGAAUCAUCAAAUUUUUGAACGCAAAUUGCGCCUUUUUCUUAAGGCAUGUCUGUUUGUGGGCACCAUUUAACAAACAAUGUUCAGCAUUUUUUGUUGCACACGUUGAUGAUCUUUCCAAGAAUUUUAAAUUUUUGGUGGCGCAUAAUGAACAGCGUGAAAGUUUUUUUCAGUUCGAGUUUAGUAAAAUCUAUGCUUGGGUUGUGAAAAAACAUACUCGCGCAAUGGGUAUGGCAAUUUCUUUUUAUUCCUGCCCCAAUUCCCAUCUUUCUCACGAGAGACUGUCUAAUCUU